rnacentral:rRNA from 1 species
UACAGAGGGUGCGAGCGUUAAUCGGAAUUACUGGGCGUAAAGGGUGCGUAGGCGGUUAGAUAAGUUAGAUGUGAAAUCCCCGGGCUUAACCUGGGAAUUGCAUUUAAGACUGUAUAGCUAGAGUAGAGUAGAGGGAAGUGGAAUUUCCGGUGUAGCGGUGAAAUGCGUAGAUAUCGGAAAGAACAUCAGUGGCGAAGGCGGCUUCCUGGACUCAUACUGACGCUGAGGCACGAAAGCAUGGGUAGCAAACAGG